AGCGAACGCUGGCGGCAGGCCUAACACAUGCAAGUCGAACGGAUCCUUCGGGAUUAGUGGCGGACGGGUGAGUAACACGUGGGAACGUGCCCUUUGGUUCGGAACAACUCAGGGAAACUUGAGCUAAUACCGGAUGUGCCCUUCGGGGGAAAGAUUUAUCGCCAUUGGAGCGGCCCGCGUCUGAUUAGCUAGUUGGUGAGGUAACGGCCCACCAAGGCGACGAUCAGUAGCUGGUCUGAGAGGAUGAUCAGCCACACUGGGACUGGGACACGGCCCAGACUCCUACGGGAGGCAGCAGUGGGGAAUCUUGCGCAAUGGGCGAAAGCCUGACGCAGCCAUGCCGCGUGAAUGAUGAAGGUCUUAGGGUUGUAAAGUUCUUUCAGCCGGGACGAUAAUGACGGUACCCGCAGAAGAAGCUCCGGCUAACUUCGUG
rnacentral:rRNA from 1 species